UACGUAGGGUGCAAGCGUUUAAUCGGAAUUACUGGGCGUAAAGCGUGCGCAGGCGGUUUUGUAAGUUUGUCGUGAAAUCCCCCGGGCUCAACCUGGGAAUGGCGAUGAAGACUGCAAGGCUAGAAUCUGGCAGAGGGGGGUAGAAUUCCACGUGUAGCAGUGAAAUGCGUAGAGAUGUGGAGGAACACCGAUGGCGAAGGCAGCCCCCUGGGUCAAGAUUGACGCUCAUGCACGAAAGGCGUGGGGAGCAAACGAGG
rnacentral:rRNA from 1 species